CGCCCCGGCGAGGGGAAACUGAGGCAGGGGCCGCUCAGUGGGGCUCCGUGCAGUGCCGCGUUAUAUAAGGAAAAGCCUCUCGGGCUGAGUCACCCGGCGGGGGUGGGUCCGGCCAGAGGCCACGGACACGGACACGGGGGGUUCGCAGCCGCUUGGCACCACCGGCGAGGGAGGAGCUGCCCUGGGGGGCCGGGGGGCCAUGCCAGGCUCGCAGUGCCCCUGCCAGCCUCCCAGCGCCCCUGCCAGGCUCCCAGUGCCCACGCCAGGCUCACAGCACCGGUGCCAGGCUUGCGGUGCUUGUGCCAACCCUGCAGCGCUGGUGCCAGGCUCGCAGCACCCGUGCCCAGCCACAGCACUGGUGCCAGGCUCGCAGCACCCACAGCAUGCCCACAGGAGCAGGAGCAGGCUGGCAGCACCCAUGUUGCACUGAUAGCCUCCGUGUCACACUCACAGCACGGGUGUCACGCUGAUAACACCUGUGCAAGCUCUGGUAACGCUUGGAUCGGUCUCACAGCACCAAUUCCCACUCACCUUCUGCAAAUGUGGACCACCCAUACCAUGCUCACACCACCUCUGCCAGCCUGCAGCAGGCUUGCACCACCCACACCCAGCUCAUGGCACCCACAGCACCCAUCCCACACUCCAGCACCCAUCCCGCACUUAGGGAACACAUGCCAGGCUCUCAGAGCCCAUCCCAGGAUUGCACCAUCAGGCUCACAGCACCCAUAUCCUGUUCACAGCACCCCUGGCAGCCUCACAGUAUUCACACCAUGCUUGGUAUUGCCCAGGGCAGUCUCACAGCACCCAUCCCUCUCUCACAGCACCAUCCAACUCCCACAGCACCCAUCCCGUGCCCACAGCACCCAUCCCACGCUCACAGCACCCAUGCCAGGCUCACAGGACCUCUGCCAGGUGUGUGCCACCUGUACCGACAGCGUUUCUGCCCUGCUUGUUACACCCAUGGCAGCCUCACAGCAUCCACACCGGUCCCGUGACACCCUCACCAGUCCCACAAUACCCACAAAAGUCCCA
rnacentral:lncRNA from 1 species